AUUGAACGCUGGCGGCAGGCCUAACACAUGCAAGUCGAGCGGAUGAAGGGAGCUUGCUCCUGGAUUCAGCGGCGGACGGGUGAGUAAUGCCUAGGAAUCUGCCUGGUAGUGGGGGAUAACGUCCGGAAACGGGCGCUAAUACCGCAUACGUCCUGAGGGAGAAAGUGGGGGAUCUUCGGACCUCACGCUAUCAGAUGAGCCUAGGUCGGAUUAGCUAGUUGGUGGGGUAAAGGCCUACCAAGGCGACGAUCCGUAACUGGUCUGAGAGGAUGAUCAGUCACACUGGAACUGAGACACGGUCCAGACUCCUACGGGAGGCAGCAGUGGGGAAUAUUGGACAAAGGGCGAAAGCCUGAUCCAGCCAAGCCGCGUGUGUGAAGAAGGUCUUCGGAUUGUAAAGCACUUUAAGUUGGGAGGAAGGGCAGUAAGUUAAUACCUUGCUGUUUUGACGUUACCAACAGAAUAAGCACCGGCUAACUUCGUG
rnacentral:rRNA from 1 species